GUCGAAUAUGGCCGCUUUCGAAACGGAGCAUUCUGCACUCCUUAAAAUGUCAUCUGCCGCGUUUUACGCUUGUAGUUCGUUUUUGAUCACAGUAGUAAACAAAAUUGUUCUCACGAACUUCAGAUUUCCUUCAUACAUCUGUCUUGCAAUUGGUCAGAUGAUCACCACUAUUGUAAUCCUGUAUGCUGCAAAAAUGAACCAAACUGUUCAUUUUCAGGAAUUUGACCGAAGUGUUUUUAUUAAAAUUUUCCCUCUCCCUUUACUGUAUGUUGGAAACCACAUAACAGGACUCGCAAGCACAAAAAAAUUAAGCUUACCCAUGUUUACAGUGUUACGAAAAUUCACCAUCUUAAUAACGAUGAUAAUGGAAGUGUUUGUAUUAAGAAAAACCUUUUCUCAGAACCUGGUCUACAGUGUGGUGGCUAUAGUUGUCGGUACCUUGAUUGCUGCCAGAAUUCAUCACCUGCUCUGGCCAUAGAAUUUGGCCAAGUCUCCCAGCACACUUUGGUUGGCAACUCCUACCUGUGUCUUGUGUGACUGAGUUUAAAUGUGGCAGAGCAACUGCCAUACUUCCGUCAGUGUCACACCGGAAACAAGCCACCACAUGCAGCCCACAUUUACAUUUAUUACUACUUAACUAGAGAGUGUGUUUAUGGUUAUUUUGUAUGAUAGCAAUCUUUCUCAUCAGUAUGUGGAUAUUUGCAUCUUACAGCUCUGUGUAUGCAAUAUGAAUAUCAUCUAUUGUAGCUAAGACUGGGUCAGAUAGGCCUAAUGUAUUAUUUAUUUGGUAGAAAGUGACACCCAGGUAUAAUGAGCCAUGCUGGAUGUUAUUAUUACUAUUAAUUACUAUUUUGUCCUUUAGCUGACGUUCAUCCAAAGUGACUUGGCAUCAGAUACAUUUCAUUAAUGAGCCGGUGAGGCCAUCUUGCUCAAAGAUGCCUAGUUAGGCUAUGGACAUUGCGAAUGGAACCCGCUCACAUUUGGGCUUGAAGUUGUUCACCCUAUUGCCACUCCACUUUUCCUGCUGCCCAAUAUUAAUAACUCAAAAGUGUUGUUAUUUCAACUCCAUCAAACGUAAAUCUUCUAUGUUUUCCAUGUAGCUCUGACCUGGCCUUCGAUAUAGAGGCCUACACCUUCAUCCUCCUCAAUGACUUCUUCACAGCUGCCAACAAUGUCUACACCAAGAAGAAGCUGGGCAGCGAUGGUCUUGGGAAAUACGGUGUGUUGUAUUACAAUGCGGUGAUCAUCGUCAUCCCUACAAUCUUGGCAAGUGUUCUAACAGGGGAUUUAAACAAGGCAAUAGCCUUUGAAAAUUGGGGGAACCCCACUUUCACUAUUUGUUUCCUUCUGACCUGCAUAAUGGGCUUUGUUCUUAUGUAUUCCAUAGUUCUCUGCAGCCACUAUAACUCAGCGCUUACUACAACAGUAGUGGGAGCAAUAAAGAAUGUUGCAGUAGCCUACAUUGGAAUGUUCGUCGGUGGUGACUACCUGUUCUCCUGGCCAAACUUCCUGGGUCUAAGUAUAUGUAUGUCGGGCGGACUGGUGUAUUCCUACUUUACCUUCUACAAGACAGCGCAGACCGAAGAUCCAGAAAAACAGCAGAGCAUUCUCCUUGAAGAUACUUUGACGUUGUCUUCCAAAGUAGGGGAUAAAUAACCUUCCACUGUGCUCAAUGGAAGAAAAUAUAAGACUUUCCUGUUUGUUAUUUAUUUUAUAAAAUAAACAAUUUACAUAAAUCUUU